AGUGAACGCUGGCGGUAGGCCUAACACAUGCAAGUCGAGCGGCAGCACAGUAGAGCUUGCUCUUACGGGUGGCGAGUGGCGGACGGGUGAGGAAUACAUCGGAAUCUACUUUUUCGUGGGGGAUAACGUAGGGAAACUUACGCUAAUACCGCAUACGACCUACGGGUGAAAGCAGGGGAUCUUCGGACCUUACGCGGUUGAAUGAGCCGAUGUCGGAUUAGCUAGUUGGCGGGGUAAAGGCCCACCAAGGCGACGAUCCGUAGCUGGUCUGAGAGGAUGAUCAGCCACACUGGAACUGAGACACGGUCCAGACUCCUACGGGAGGCAGCAGUGGGGAAUAUUGGACAAUGGGCGCAAGCCUGAUCCAGCCAUACCGCGUGGGUGAAGAAGGCCUUCGGGUUGUAAAGCCCUUUUGUUGGGAAAGAAAAGCAGCAGGUUAAUACCCCGCUGUUCUGACGGUACCCAAAGAAUAAGCACCGGCUAACUUCGUG
rnacentral:rRNA from 1 species